UAACUUUGUAGCUUGCUAUGAGGUUUGAACUUUUGGCUACAGUUUAAUUCUAGUGGCAAACGGGUGAGUAAUACAUGGAUAAUAUCCCCUUGAGAGGAAAAUAACUCCGGGAAACCGGAGCUAAUAGACCGUAUUAUCCCGUGGAGGUAUCUUCGCGGGAUGAAAGAUUACUUCGGUAAUCGCUCGAGGAUUAGUUCAUGUCCUAUCAGCUAGUUGGUAGGGUAACGGCCUACCAAGGCUAAGACGGGUAGCUGGUUUGAAAGAACGAUCAGCCACAGUGGCACUGCGACACGGGCCACACUCCUACGGGAGGCAGCAGUCGGGAAUCUUGGACAAUGGGCGAAAGCCUGAUCCAGCGAUACCGCGUGGAGGAUGAAGGUCUUCGGAUUGUAAACUCCUUUUAGGAAAGAUGAAGUCCCGGUAACCCCGGGAUUGACAGUACUUCCAGAAAAAGUCACGGCUAACUACGUGCCAGCAGCCGCGGUAAUACGUAGGUGGCAAGCGUUACUCGGAAUCACUAGGUGUAAAGCGUGGGUAGGUGGUUUGAUAAGUUGGGAGUGAAAGCUCUGACAAAAUUGGAGAGGACUUCCAAAACUAUCAGACUUGAGUAUAACAGGGGGAACCGGAAUUCCUGGUGUAGCGGUGAAAUGCGUAAAUAUCAGGAGGAACACCUAUGGCUAAAGCGGGUUCCUGGGUUAUUACUGACACUGAUCUACGAAGAUGUGGGGAGCAAACAGGAUUAGAUACCCUGGUAGUCCACAUAGUAAACUAUGGAAACUAGAUAUGGGAGGUAUCGACCCCUUCCGUGUCGUAGCUAACGCGUUAAGUUUCCCACCUGGGGAGUACGGCCGCAAGGUUGAAACUCAAAAGAAUUGACGGGGGCCCGCACAAGCGGUGGAGCAUGUGGUUUAAUUCGACACAACGCGAAGAACCUUACCUGGGCUUGAAGUACUGGUUGUAUCCGGGCGAAAGCUUUGGAGACCCGCAAGGGAGCCAGUAGAGGUGCUGCAUGGUUGUCGUCAGCUCGUGUCGUGAGAUGUAUGGUUAAGUCCCAAAACGAGCGCAACCCUUGCCUCAUGUUGCUAAUCCCUAACGGGAAGCACUCUUGGGGGACUGCUCCGGUUAACGGAGAGGAAGGUGGGGACGACGUCAAAUCCUCAUGGCCUUUAUGUCCAGGGCUACACACGUGCUACAAUGGCUACUACAAUGGGACACUAAUCCGCAAGGAGGAGUAAAUCCAUAAAAAGUAGCCCCAGUUCGGAUUGAGGGCUGCAACUCGCCCUCAUGAAGGCGGAAUCGCUAGUAAUCGCUAAUCAGCAGGUAGCGGUGAAUACGUUCCCGGGCCUUGUACACACCGCCCGUCACACCAUGGGAGCUGACUGCAACCGAAUGCCGGCGUUUGCCGGGAGAAGUUGUGGUUAGUGACUGGGGUGAAGUCGGAACAAGGUAGGCGUACGGGAACGUG
rnacentral:rRNA from 1 species